rnacentral:rRNA from 1 species
AGCGAACGCUGGCGACAGGCCUAACACAUGCAAGUCGAACGAACCCUUCGGGGUUAGUGGCGGACGGGUGAGUAACACGUGGGAACGUGCCUUUAGGUUCGGAAUAACUCAGGGAAACUUGUGCUAAUACCGAAUGUGCCCUUCGGGGGAAAGAUUUAUCGCCUUUAGAGCGGCCCGCGUCUGAUUAGCUAGUUGGUGAGGUAAUGGCUCACCAAGGCUACGAUCAGUAGCUGGUCUGAGAGGAUGACCAGCCACAUUGGGACUGAGACACGGCCCAAACUCCUACGGGGGGCAGCAGUGGGGAAUCUUGCGCAAUGGGCGAAAGCCUGACGCAGCCAUGCCGCGUGGAUGAUGAAGGUCUUAGGAUUGUAAAAUCCUUUCACCGGUGAAGAUAAUGACUGUAGCCGGAGAAGAAGCCCCGGCUAACUUCGUGCCAGCCGCGCCGUAACAC